rnacentral:rRNA from 1 species
UACGGAGGUUCCAAGCGUUGUUCGGAAUUACUGGGCGUAAAGGGAGCGCAGGCGGAUAGGUCAGUUUAAAGUGGAAUCCCAGGGCUCAACCCUGGAAGUGCUUUGGAUACUGCCUAUCUUGAGUUCGUGAGAGGAAAGUGGAAUUCAGGGUGUAGCGGUGAAAUGCUUAGAUAUCCUGAGGAACACCAGUGGCGAAAGCGACUUUCUGGCACGUAACUGACGCUGAGGCUCGAAAGCAUGGGUAGCGAAC